CUACGGGGUGCACCAGUGGGGAAUAUUGGACAAUGGGGGAAACCCUGAUCCAGCAAUGCCGCGUGUGUGAAGAAGGCCUGCGGGUUGUAAAGCACUUUCGGUUGGGAGGACUGCUUCUAGCACUAAUAUUGUUGGAAGUUGACGUUACCUUCAGAAGAAGCACCGGCUAACUCCGUGCCAGCAGCCGCGGUAAUACGGGGGGUGCAAGCGUUAAUCGGAAUUACUGGGCGUAAAGCGCGCGUAGGCGGCUAGAUCAGUCGGGUGUGAAAGCCCCGGGCUUAACCUGGGAACGGCAUCCGAUACUGUCUAGCCUGAGUACAGGAGAGGAGAGUGGAAUUCCACAUGUAGCGGUGAAAUGCGUAGAUAUGUGGAGGAACACCAAUGGCGAAGGCAGCUCUCUGGCCUGAUACUGACGCUGAGGUGCGAAAGCGUGGGGAGCAAACAGGAUUAGAUACCCCUGUAGUC
rnacentral:rRNA from 1 species